UACGAAGGGGGCUAGCGUUGUUCGGAAUCACUGGGCGUAAAGGGCGCGUAGGCGGUCCGCUAAGUUGGAUGUGAAAACUCUGGGCUCAACCCAGAGCCUGCAUCCAAAACUGGCGGGCUAGAGUUCUGGAGGGGGUAGCGGAAUUCCUGGUGUAGCGGUGAAAUGCGCAGAUAUCAGGAGGAACACCAAUGGCGAAGGCAGCUCGCUGGAACGGUACUGACGCUGAGGCGCGAAAGCGUGGGGAGCAAACAGG
rnacentral:rRNA from 1 species